rnacentral:rRNA from 1 species
UACGUAGGAUGCAAGCGUUGUCCGGAAUUAUUGGGCGUAAAGAGCGCGCAGGCGGUCUAUCAAGUCAGAUGUGAAAUAUCCAGGCUUAACCUGGAGGGGUCAUUUGAAACUGGUAGACUAGAGUACAGCAGAGGAUAGUGGAAUUCCCGGUGUAGUGGUGAAAUGCGUAGAUAUCGGGAGGAACACCAGUGGCGAAGGCGACUAUCUGGGCUGAAACUGACGCUGAGGCGCGAAGGCUAGGGGGAGCAAACAGG